UCAAGCCCUGUAUCCUGUCUUUGACUAAAAACCUUGUGAAAGAUUCUUGUAACCUAAAGCUCUGCUCCUUCCUUAAGUUGACUCUUGAGGCAAGCUCCCUGGGUCCUCCUGGUGAUUCCUGUGCAGCCUGAUUCCGUUUACCUCCUGAGUUCCACUUUUGGAUUGCAGGCUGAAUGCCACCGGCUUGUAGACGCUCAGCCACCGAAACCUGUCCGCCCUCCAACGAACUUCUUACCUCUGGGAAAAACACAGACCUGUCCACCCUAAAACUGACCUCCCCUUCCAGACUCCUAAUCCUCCUGCAACAAGGACGAACCGCCGGCACAGCCCUGAGUUCCUCACUCAUGUUGUUGUCUCUUCUAAAAUAAAUAUCUUAAACUUC